rnacentral:rRNA from 1 species
CAGGUCACUCCUACGGGAGGCAGCAGUCGAGAAUUUUUGACAAUGGGGGAAACCCUGAUCGAGCGACGCCGCGUGGAGGAUGAAGGUCUUCGGGUUGUAAACUCCUGUCAUUUGGGAACAAGGUGCACCGGUUAACUGCCGGAGUAUUGCUAGUACCAGAAGAGGAAGAGACGGCUAACUCUGUGCCAGCAGCCGCGGUAAUACAGAGGUCUCAAGCGUUGUUCGGAUUCAUUGGGCGUAAAGGGUGCGUAGGUGGCGCGCUAAGUCAGGUGUGAAAUCUCGGGGCUUAACUCCGAAACUGCAUUUGAUACUGGCGUGCUUGAGGACUGGAGAGGAGACUGGAAUUCAUGGUGUAGCAGUGAAAUGCGUAGAGAUCAUGAGGAAGACCAGUGGCGAAGGCGGGUCUCUGGACAGUUCCUGACACUGAGGCACGAAGGCCAGGGGAGCAAACGGGAUUAGAUACCCCGGUAGUCCUGGCAGUAAACGGUGCACGUUUGGUGUGGGGGGAUUCGACCCCUUCUGCGCCGGAGCUAACGCGUUAAACGUGCCGCCUGGGGAGUACGGUCGCAAGAUUAAAACUCAAAGGAAUUGACG